UGGAGUCAUGUUCUGCAAGGGAUCCGCCUAUAUGCACGAAAAAAAAAAAAUGCUCGUGUGUGAGAACGGGUUAUGUAAAUUAACCAAGGCUAUUAUACCAUCAACACCAUUGAGCACACAACAGAUGAACUAACGAGGGACAGUCCGGAACACCCACAUCACAUAAAGAAUGAAAGAGUGCUGAAGUCCUUUAUGAUUCAUGGUUCAAUGUACUCCAAGCAACGCGAAAAUCUGUCAGAAAACCUCGGCAAUCAAAGGGAAAUAACAAUGGAAAGAGAAUCUAGACUGCUUGAUUAAGGGUCAGAUUUUCGCUUCUUGAGCUAAACAGGAAUUAAACUAUAGCAGUAACCUUUUAGGUCUAAUCAACUUUCGUCGGCAGGCAACUAAAGCUCACCAUAGGCACGAAGAAUUCUCCAGAAAUCUAUUUUCCUUUUAGGCAAACUACGAUUGAUAGCAUUAAAUAUUAUGGAUUACUAACCAAUCGUUAUAAAGUCGACCCUUAUAAAUAGUUUUGCCCAUUGAAUUCAUGAAAAACUAAAAACAAUGAAUAAUA